UAGCCAAAUGCUUCGCUGGUUGUACCGGUACAACCAUUGGUUUUGUACCGGUACAAGACAUCCAGAAAGUCAUUUUUGACUUCGAUUUCGCUCUAUUUCGCGUCGUUCGAUGCCAAAACCCUUCCAACUCAUUUAGAGCUUAUUUUUUAACCCUACUAACAGUGUUGGAACGUUAAUGGAUCGCGUCCAACCAAUCCCUUCGAGUACUUUAGUCAAUUAGGCUAAAGUCCACAAUAUUUCACCGAGAUCUCGGUGGUUACAUCAGGACUUCCUCUUUUUUCAACUAUAUCACCCUGAAUAAGAACUCUUUGUACAAAUGAUGCCCCGGCAUCAGCAACCAAGUCAAGUAUAAACUCAUCAUUAAUACUCUGCAACCCAUAGUUUUAUCUGAUAUAGUAUACUAUCAAGCAAUAAUAUGAAAACUCAUAGAAUAGAAAGAUAAAUGUAUCUAAUUGAUGAUUAUGCAAAGAUACUAAUAUAAAAGUCCGUACAAAAAUUGCAAAUGUAUGAAGAAUACUAGGAGAAAAUUCUUACUAGGCCACCAUUUGCAUUUUUUGCUGGAUAGGAUUCAUCAUCUUCAGGCAGUGGGUUGGAGAACUCUCUAAUAACUGAUGCAACUUCUGAUGUUAUGCCAGCUUGAUCAGAUGGUGAACCUUCAUUAGAAGAGAGAUUUGCAAACACAUCAAAGUGGCGAAGCAAAAGUAUACAAGGCGAAUACCUACGCAAAACUAAAUUAGUAUAAAGAGUCACUUUAUGAGAGUUGCCAUGCCCAGUAGACAGGAAAAGAAAAAAUGAAAUGCUAUCUGACAACAUUUUCAAGGGGUAAAAGUAGAACUACAAGAAGAGGUGAUUAAUCACACUUAAACAAAAAAAAAAAAAGCAGUACAUAUCAAAAGAAAUCACCAUAAUUUAUUGGGUGAAGUUAACAAUCACAUUACAUGCUAGAGCAGCUUUGAAUGUACUCGACAGUACAGCACAUAGCCUUCUCUCUGAGGAAUCCAUUAUGUCAUGACAGUUAUAUUCCACAACAUGCAAGCCAAGAUGGUGCGCAACAUAUCUAACAACAGUUCGUUUACCACACCCUGUGUUUACCAUGCUUAAGUUUAAUUCAGAGUUAUAUUUGACUAGUGAAUACCAAAUGUGGUCAAUCAAAAAGCCAAAAAAAAGUGAACAUGAAGCCACCUGAGGGACCAUAAAAUAAAACAGAAACCCUGAAUUUUGAUGAUAGGCUAGAAGGGCAUAAUAUGGGUGCAAGAAUAGAUGCCAAAAACUUCACUGUGCUCCUUGCAAGGGCAUUGGUACAUUGGAAUUGCUAACAAAGUUAUAAGAUGGGAUUGCAGAAGCUGCACCUCGACCAAGAACAAGUGCCGUUUGAUUACGGUUAACCCGAAGAAUGGGUUCAUUUGCUGGCUCAAUAGCAGUUACCUAACGAAAUAAUGGAAGCUCAAACUGUGAUUACUCAGGAUUCACGUUGAAUUUGAAGUAAAUGCCAAAUGCUUUUUUACUGAAGGAUGAUAUUUAAGAACAUUAGCUUGAAGUAGAUUAUGUUACUGGAAAGCCCAUUGGCAUUCUUUUCAUUGCAAACUAGACACAACUCUGAACUGCAAUUCCAAUUUUUACGAACAAAAAAGACAUCUCCUCUAGCCAGAAAUCUAUCAACUUUGAAGUACUCAUUCAAAGCCAAAUCUGUCAAUGUGUCAUAAUGAGAGUCAGCAAUUUAUUAAACUACGAUGAAUCGUAAAAAAUUCCAUACUAAAAAACUAGCAAAUUGAGGGAUAUCGGAAUCGAUAUCGGACAAAAGGGCAUUUAUAAAAGCAAUAAUUUUUCGAUAUGCUGAACCAGCCUGUAAUAUACUGAACUUUGACAAAUUACGAAGUUCGAGUGAUGGAAUAGAAUUUAGAACUAUCCUAUGAUUUUGAAGGAUUGCCGAGAGAUUUUCAGCAAAUUACUGAAGUAAACGAUUAGCUGGAAGUGGAAAAGUGCAUCGCAAAUGCGCUAUUUAACUGUAAUGUUCUGAAUUUGGUCAAUUGUGAAGUUCGAGUGCGGGAAUAAUAAUUGGAACCAUUCUACAUUUUCUAAAGGGUAUAGAGAAGUUGGUGGAUAAGUUUGAGUGUGAUCGGAAUGCAGAAAGUGAGAAAGUGCAUUGCUACUGCGGAAUUUGGCAUAUUAUGCAUUGUGUACCGGUACAAAUGAGUGCCUGUACUGGUACAAGUAGUUGCGUGGCAGAGGGCUGUUUUGACCUUAUCCUCCUCUAGCUUUGUUCCUAUCCACCCCAGCUUGACCCUAACUGAUACUUAUCCUAUCUAAGCUCUGGGAAACAGAGUUUUACCCUUCUCUCUCUUUCUCUCUCUAGAAUUUUCCUCUCUCUAUGAGGAAAACAAUGGUUAAGCUUGAUUUCUUCUCCUUGCUUGAUACUAGCUGAUUGGGGAGUGCUUGGGAGCUGUUGUUGAAGGAAGAAGAAGGGUUUUUGGACGUAUUUCGCAGCUCUAGUGCAGCAGUGAACUGAGUGGAAACUUGGUAAAGUGAAGGGUUCAACUUCUCUCAAGAUUCAACUUCUCUCAAGGAAGAAGAAGGGUUUUUUUUGGUUUCUUUAAUACCAGCUGGUUUGGGGGAUGCUUCCAGCAGCAAUAGAAGGAAGUUCGGUGGUGAUUUAUCAUCUCUAAGAGCAUGAAAAGCUGAGUUGAUUUGUUGGACGGUGAUUAACUACUACCCUCUCUAGUUUGAUACUAUAGUAAUAGUAUUAGUGGUAGUAGUAGUGACACUUUUGGGAAUUGCUUACAGCAGUAUGUGGACUUUUAAUUGUAUUUUGGUGACCCUUUGUGAGCUGGUUUUGAUGUGCUCCAACCUGAGUUGGAGCUGUGUAAGGAAUUGCAGCGAGUUAUUGAAUCCCUUUGGCUGCGAAUUGUGAACUUUGGAAGAUCGAUUUUGAGGUGUUCCAACCUGAAUUGAAGAGAAAUUCAAGUUUGGAUACUCCUAAGUUUGUAGCAGCUUGAUGGAGUGAUCUCGGCUGACUUUUAAGAACUUUCGAAGGUUAAACUUGGUGCUUUAACCUAAACCGAAACAGGGAUUCAAGCUAUAGCAGUGUACAAGGUGAGAAUCUUGCCGAAUUUGGAUGUUUUGAUAAGAGCUACAAUGCAGUUUUUAUAAUGAGUUCGCAGCAAGUUUUGGGACCAUCUCGAACUGAGUAUUGAGACUUUUUAGAGCUGAUUUGAGCUGAUCUUGAGGUGCUUCAAUUUGAAUUGAAGCAGAGGUUUAGUUUCAAACUAAACAUAGGGGACUUAAAGGCUUUGGAUUUCCUACGAGUGUGAGUACGACAAGAGUUGUCGAUUAAUAGAGCCUUCCACAGCGGGAAAGGCUAGGGUUCCUGGCAAGGGGUCAGCGGAUAGCUAGAACCUCCUCGAUGUUAAAUAGAUGGAACCACUCCAACUUUUCUAGUUUAGUUUUGUAUUAUAUCUUGGGCUCAUGUAGAAUGUGCUUUGUUUUUACAUAGUAAUAAGGUUUUGGGUUGUAAAGGUUUAUAUUUUAAGUUACUGAUUACCUGUUUAGAAUCAAAUGCUUUUACUAUAUGAAUUGUAGACGCCUGGUGUAUACUUGAUAUUGUGAUGUACACGGCGGGUCUGUACACGCGACUGGUGAGCUUCCGCUGAUGUCUAGGGCGUGACACAGCCGUUUCGCAAACAAAAAAUUUGAAGCUUUUGCUA